rnacentral:rRNA from 1 species
GUCUUAGCUUGCUAAGGCCGAUGGCGACCGGCGCACGGGUGAGUAACACGUAUCCAACCUGCCGUCUACUCUUGGACAGCCUUCUGAAAGGAAGAUUAAUACAAGAUGGCAUCAUGAGUCCACAUGUUCACAUGAUUAAAGGUAUUCCGGUAGACGAUGGGGAUGCGUUCCACUAGAUAGUAGGCGGGGUAACGGCCCACCUAGUCUUCGAUGGAUAGGGGUUCUGAGAGGAAGGUCCCCCACAUUGGAACUGAGACACGGUCCAAACUCCUACGGGAGGCAGCAGUGAGGAAUAUUGGUCAAUGGGCGAGAGCCUGAACCAGCCAAGUAGCGUGAAGGAUGACUGCCCUAUGGGUUGUAAACUUCUUUUAUAAAGGAAUAAAGUCGGGUAUGGAUACCCGUUUGCAUGUACUUUAUGAAUAAGGAUCGGCUAACUCCGUGCCAGCAGCCGCGGUAAUACGGAGGAUCCGAGCGUUAUCCGGAUUUAUUGGGUUUAAAGGGAGCGUAGAUGGAUGUUUAAGUCAGUUGUGAAAGUUUGCGGCUCAACCGUAAAAUUGCAGUUGAUACUGGAUAUCUUGAGUGCAGUUGAGGCAGGCGGAAUUCGUGGUGUAGCGGUGAAAUGCUUAGAUAUCACGAAGAACUCCGAUUGCGAAGGCAGCC